rnacentral:rRNA from 1 species
UACAGAGGGGGCAAGCGUUGUUCGGAAUUACUGGGCGUAAAGGGCUCGUAGGCGGCCAACUAAGUCAUACGUGAAAUCCCUCAGCUUAACUGGGGAACUGCGUGUGAUACUGGAUGGCUUGGAUUUGGGAGAGGGAUGCGGAAUUCCAGGUGUAGCGGUGAAAUGCGUAGAUAUCUGGAGGAACACCGGUGGCGAAGGCGGCUCUCUGGACCACAACUGACGCUGAGGCGCGAAAGCUAGGGGAGCAAACAGG